GCCAACUUAGUAUAGUGGUUUGAGUGUUGGACUAUGACUCUGGAGAUCAGGGUUCGAUUCCCAGCUCAAGCA